rnacentral:rRNA from 1 species
GUUGAACGCUGGCGGCGUGCCUAAUACAUGCAAGUCGAGCGAACAGACGAGGAGCUUGCUCCUCUGACGUUAGCGGCGGACGGGUGAGUAACACGUGGAUAGCCUACCUAUAAGACUGGGAUAACUUCGGGAAACCGGAGCUAAUACCGGAUAAUAUAUUGAACCGCAUGGUUCAAUAGUGAAAGACGGUUUUGCUGUCACUUAUAGAUGGAUCCGCGCCGCAUUAGCUAGUUGGUAAGGUAACGGCUUACCAAGGCAACGAUGCGUAGCCGACCUGAGAGGGUGAUCGGCCACACUGGAACUGAGACACGGUCCAGACUCCUACGGGAGGCAGCAGUAGGGAAUCUUCCGCAAUGGGCGAAAGCCUGACGGAGCAACGCCGCGUGAGUGAUGAAGGUCUUCGGAUCGUAAAACUCUGUUAUUAGGGAAGAACAAAUGUGUAAGUAACUAUGCACGUCUUGACGGUACCUAAUCAGAAAGCCACGGCUAACUACGUG